GUGUCGAGUACGGACCGGAAACACCGGUCGGCCCGCUCUCGUGCUCAGAGGCCUCGCCAGCGUUGGGCCACAUGUGUCUCGCGUAUAUCGUUUUCCCGUGGAAAGAGCUACGCCGAAAAUGCGCCGCGUUUACGUAAUCCGCGGUAACGCGAUGCCACGCCGGUGCUGGUAAAAAGACCAACCGCGCGGUGGGUGUACACGAGUGCGGGAAGUUCCGUCUCGCGAUCCGCGUGUCGUCGCGCGAGAGAGAGUGCGCGGUGCGUGCGUGCGUGCGUGUGUGUGCUCCGUCUCUCGCGCGGAGUUUUUAACAACGCGCUGCGGGCAAAGUAGUCGUCCCCUUGCCGGGAGAGAAGGUGGGUAGAAAAGGACGAAGAGAGGCGGAAUCGUAACCGCUCUCGCUAGCGUGAGCCGGGCCGCGCGCGUAUGGUGCACGUUCCGCGUCGCCCCUCGACAGCGUUCGUCCGGAGCUGGGGAGCGACAACAGCGGCAGCAGCAGUAGCAGCGGUAACAACCGCUCCUCGGUGAUCUACGAUUCCACGGCGCCGACGUUCGGGCUUCCGUCCGGUGUGCGCGGAGGGUAUAUAAAGCGUGGACCAAUCGCGGCGAAAGCGCCGAGUCAGCGCGCCGGAGCGUCGCACCCUAACCCCCGCGGGAUCCGAGCACGAGGUCGCGUGCGCGCGCGCGCGCGCGCUCGUCUCGCCUCGCCUCGCCUCCGCGCAAUUGCGUUGCCGGCGACCGGGUGACGACGUGGGUGUCGCGCGCCGGGACGUGCACGCGGCGCACGUAGGCGCCCACAUCUGCUUUGUUCGCGCGACCGCGUGGCGUGCGCGCGUGCGUGCGUGAGGAAACUGCCCAGUGCCCAUUCGUCUCCGCGAGUGCCGGCUCGCGGUGUCGCGUCUCCUUUGUUGCGCCCGACGCACCGCGAAGGACCGAGGACUCCCCCUCCUUCCCCUAGGAUGAGGCGCGGGGAUGCGCGCGCUAGGUUAUAGUUCGCCAGCUCUCCCGUGAAGAAUCCUCCGCGAGAGUCAUCGUCGGCGGCCGUGAUCGGCGUGAUCGCGAGAGUUCCUUCCCCCUCCUUCCUCUUAACCGGUGAGUGAAGGAGACAGAGAAAGAGAGAGAGAGAGAGAGAAAAAGAGAAGAAUCAUCGCGGAAGAGGGAGAGAAGAAGAGAGGAAGAGGAGAGUCUCCGCGAGUGUCGCCGACGACAGCGACGAAUUCGGCGGACACGGUGGACCUCGUGCCGCGGACCUCGUGCUUUUUGCCCCGUGACGGCGUGCGCCGCGAGAUGGCGGCCAAGUUAGCCAGCCAGGGUGGCGCUCGCGGCAGCGGCGAGCGGCAGGAGGCGGGGCCCUGCCAGUCCUACGCCAGUGUCCUGAAUCCGAAAGGUGCCUCGCAGAGCCGCGCGAGCUCGUUCAAGAGCAACAAUAAGGAGAACAUUGACGAUCAAGUGACAGUGUCGCAGCAGCACCAGCAGCAACAGCAACAGCAGCAGCAGCACCACCAGCAGCAACAACAUACGCAUCAGCCAACGACAAAUGCGAGGGAGAGAUUAGCGCCGAGUGGAAAGGGCGGCAAGUCCUACCAGAGGGUAACCCGGUGCCCUCAGGCUGCCUCGGAGAGCAUGCCGUCGGUCGCGCAGGUCGGCGCCGUUCUCGAGGCGUCGGCGUCGGCGUCGCGCGGGGAUGACGGCCGGCCCGACUCCAACCGGCUGAUCAACCCCGUCGGCAACGGGGACGGCGAGUUCCAGACGGUCGCCACGAAGGGCGCCCGUCGCAAGGAGAAGAUGAUGCGCGAGCACCAUCGCGACAGCCAGCACCGGGAGCGUCACCGGCUGCGCGAGAACAACAACCGCCAUCAUCAGCCAGCACCACCACGUGGUGGUGCCAGUGGCGUCGGGGGCGGAGGCGCCGUUAGACGCGGCAGCGACGAGAGAUCGUCGCACAGAGAGCGCGCCGACCGCAAUGGCGUCCCCGGCGACGGCUACGGCCUGAAGGAGGCACAUCAUCAUCACCACCAUCAUCAUCACCACAAGCAGGACGAGCAGAGUGUCGGAGAGUCGGAGGUGCUGUCGGCGCCCUUGCCGCCACCGCCGCCGGUCAAGUAUGUCGAGGCGCCUUUACCCGCGGUGAAUCCCUGGACGAGGAACCGGACGUCGUCGGUGCAGCCGGCUGCACCUCAGCAGCAGCCCGCGACCAAGACCCUGCAGCCACAGCCGCAACCGCAACCGCAGCAGCAGCCACCCUCCGAUAUCCCCGUGACAUCCGACAAACCGACGGAAAGGGAGAGGAGAGUGCUGCAGCCGCAACAGCAGCAGCAACAGCAACAGCAGGGCGCAACCUUGGAAAAUGGCGUCGAGAAUGGUGGCCAGCCUACAAUUGUCAGAGCUCCUAGGGAUAAAAGGAAAAUUAAUCAAAACGCGAGCGAUUUUACGAACAUUGGAGACUGGCCUACUUUAGGAACGCAAGUAGAGAGAAAAGCAAUCAUAUCUCCUCCAAAGCAAAAUGGUGUGUUGAAUGGUGAGCCAAGUACUUCUAAGGCGUCUAACACUGUCGAAAGCAAAAGCAAAGAAAACAAGGAGCAGAUUAGCUAUCAAGAUGAUAGCGACGAGCACAUGGAUAAUAGUGAAAAGAAAAAGAAAGCGAAUAAACAAAAAUGGGUUCCGCUUGAAAUUGAUUUGGCACAAAAUCGUGGGACCAUGCGAUCGCCGAGAUUUCAAAAUCACAGAGAAAGAAAUGGCGAAGCGAAUGAUGGUGAGCACUGGCGUGAAAGGGACGAUAGAUCAACGGGAUACAAUUCGCGAGGACGCGGUGGAAGAAAUUACCGCGGUAGAGGACGGGGCGGACGCGGUCGUGGUGGCUUUAGACAUCGAUACGAUCAUGAGUACUCAAAUUAUGCGGCGGACUGUAUACAGACCCAUAAAUACGAACCGGAUUCCGGUGCAUAUAUGAUUACACCUUACAUGGGAACAUGCUAUUUUAAUAAUGCAAAUUACAUAGAUCCUACAACAUUAAAAGAAUAUAUACGAAAACAAAUAGAAUAUUACUUUUCUGAAGAAAAUCUUGUGAAAGACUUCUUUCUACGUCGUAAAAUGAAUGCUGAAGGAUUUUUGCCUCUCAAUUUAAUUGCAUCUUUUCAACGUGUAUUAAAUUUAACGACAGAUUUAGAUUUGGUGAUAGAGGCAGUUUCAGAAUCUGAUAGACUAGAGCUGAUGGAAUUAGAAGAUGGUUCUAAACAGAUUAGGACAAGUUUCGAGCCAUUAAAAUGGCCUCUUUCGGACAUAGCCAAUAAUAUUACCUUUUCAAAUCUCAUGCAACAGUCUGUUCCACCUCAAAACGAAGUAAUUCCUACCUCUGAAACUAUAUUUUGUCCCGUCGCAAAACCUUUAUCUACAAUGCCUGCUCCCCCAGUUCCUCGUGUGUUUGAAUCUUACCAUUCCAUUUCGACAGUAAGAAGACAUAGCGAAUCAGAGAUAAAUUCUUUGGCAAAUGAGAUUCUAAAUCCCGAUGUGCCAGAAUUUGUGCCGACAACGGAAAGGGCUAAUGGAGUUACAGCUACAAAUAAAAACAAUCAAACGAAGAACAAAUUUCACUUUGAAAAGAUAAAGGAAACAUUAGCUAUUGCAGAAAAAUAUCUGCUUUCUCCUGAGAAUGAUCCUCCUACGAAGAUAAAAGAAGACAACAAAUUACUUACCACAACAGAUAUUCACACUUCAGACAGUUUAUCAGAACGAAUGAACGGAGAAUCGGAUUCAUCGAGCGAUAAUGCUUGGAAAGAGGUGAGAAGAAGAGUGAAGCAACCACACAAAGAUAGAUCGGAAGAUAAAGAGAAAUCUGAAGCCAUAAAAAAUGCAGUACGAGAGGAACUGCAUUUUCAGUUUGACGAGGAAUUCGAUUCGCCGCCACCUACUGGUCGACAUAAUGCCUUUUCGGAAUGGUCUGAAGAUGAGGAUGACAAUGAACUGUCGGACAGAGAUAUUAAUAAACUAUUAAUAUUUACACAAACUUGUGCCACGUCAACUAGAAUCCCAAAACAUGAAGGCUAUGAUAGAACAGGAGAUUGGAUUACGAGAACAAAAAUGACUCAAGACUUGGUACAACUUAUCAAUGAUGGAUUAUAUUAUUACGAAGAAGAAUUACGACGAAAACAUGGCUCUUCUUCGUCUAUUGGGAGCUACAAAACGGUUAAUAUGAUUAGCCAAGAAGAUUUCGAAAAAAUGGCACCAAAAGCGCCAAAAAAAGCAAAUCCAGAGGUUCCGCCACCACCUCCUGCCAUAGAAGAUUUAGAAAUUUCGCAGUCGAUUUCGUCGUCACAGUUUCCAAGCACGAGUCCAGAGAAAAAGGAUUACAGAUCAGAAAAGAAUCGUUGGAGUGAUAAAUUAUAUCCGAAAGAAGCACGGGGAAAUACUGCUCCUCGUUUCUUUGCUGUUGUGAAAGACAGACCAUCUGUAGAUCCGAGAACGCCAAGAAAAAGAAAAACUCGUCACAGUAAUAAUCCUCCAGUGGAGCACCAUAUUGGUUGGAUUAUGGACGUUCGAGAGCAUCGUCCCCGAACAUAUUCCACGGGGAGUAGCGCAGGUACAAGUCCCAAUGAAGGUUAUCUUGCUAACAGUUACGGCAGCGUUCCUAGUGUUUACGAGCACCCGAGUCACGCUUUGUUAAAGGAUAAUGGGUUUACUCAACAAGCAUAUCACAAAUAUCGUUCUCGUUGCUUGAAAGAACGCUCAAGAUUAGGUAUCGGACAAUCGCAAGAGAUGAACACUCUUUUCCGUUUCUGGUCGUUUUUCUUGCGAGAAAACUUCAAUCGUACUAUGUACGAAGAAUUCAGGACUGUAGCCAAAGAGGAUGCCUGUGCAGGAUACCGAUACGGAUUAGAGUGCCUUUUCAGAUUUUAUAGUUAUGGCUUGGAGAAAAAGUUUAAACAUACGCUGUAUACAGAUUUUGAAACAGAAACGAUGCAAGAUUAUGAAAGCGGACAGCUCUAUGGACUGGAAAAAUUCUGGGCAUUUUUGAAGUAUUAUAAGAAUUCUAAUAAGCUUCGUGUAGAUUCUAAAUUGCAAGAGUACCUAUCAAAAUUUAAGAAUAUUGAAGACUUCAGAGUUGUAGAACCUCAAAUAAAAGAGAUGCUUCAAACCGCAAGAUUACGUAAUAGAAGUGUUUCCGAAAGCGCUACAGAAGAGUCACAUACAUGCAGCUACUUACUCACAGACGACUAUAAUACACUGCCAAACGCGCAAGAGUCGCAUUUAUCGCAGUUUCGAAGUAGGGCCGGUUCCUUCGGCUCUAAAUCGUAUCAUUCGCGACGACGGAAUGAUUCCUUGUCGUCUAGCAGCCAGCGAGAUCUCAACAAGCAACAGCUUCGAAAUAGACAGAGCACUGGUUUCUUUGCGAAGCCUUUUGAGACGAGCAAAUCACAAAUCACUGCCAGAGAUCGAACUCAAACCAGCUUCAAGUCUGAAGCAAACAAAUCCGUCACGAUUAAAGCAGAUGGUUCAUCUGCCUCCCAAAAAUAAAGUCGGCAACGCGAGAAAAGUGCGCUAAUUUCGAAUAUUUCUGUAAAAGUGACAGAAAUGAUUGAAUCGCCCUCAGGAUGAAAUGGCGAUAGUAUUUUCGAUAAUGCAUAUUAUUGAACAGUAGAACGUCGUAAUUGGGAAAUGAAAAAUGGAAUUCGUAUAUCCAGUCCUAUUCAUGUGAUUUUGAAGAUUGUUGCUAUGGAGUAUGCAAAAGAGUGACGAGCAAGCGAACAGUAUCGUACUGCGUGAAGAUAUAGUUGUAAGAUACUGUUUGUUCAAGCAAGUGUCUGAUGUACAAAAAGAUGAAGUGCUACCUUUAUCAAAAAGACAGCAUAAAGACUAUAAAUAUGUAUGUAAUAGAUAAGCGCCUAAAUAUUAUACACUUGACUACUUUGUAAAUUCAGAGAUUAAUCAUAUAAUUCAUAAAUACUUAGUUAUGUAGAUAUACCUAUGUAAUGAUUGUUGAAGUUGUGCCGUCUUUUCUGAUUAUCAAAAUUCUCUAAAUUUUAAUUUUUCUGCGAGUAUUUGACUUUUUUUUAUAAGGAUGCCUUUUUGUUUUUUUCUUUUUUAACAGAAAUGUUUUAUAAGAGACACAUAUAUUCUUUAUAUCAUUGAAAUAUAUCAAUAAUAUUUACUUAUUCUCUAAGCAGUAGCAAUUAAAAGUUACACCCCGAGCUUCUAUUUUAAGACUCAACGUAAUUGCGCAAUGUACUUCCAUGUAAUAUUGUUUGUUUUUUUUUUUACAUAUUAACUUUGCUAUAUUUAUUUUUCAUAAAAAUAAACUAAAAACAUCCGCAUGAACAUUACAACACAGUACGUGAGAAAAGUCAACGUUGUUUCAUUAAUUAAAUUGUUCAGAUUUCUCGAUUUCAAAUCGUCUUUGGAAUGGUUUUUAAUAGAAAUCACUUUAUAAAUUCUUAUAUUACCUACGAAUAUACUAUUUGCACUAAUCGAGUUUGCAUAUACAUAUGUUUAUACAUAUGCUGUCUAUGCAAUAAUUAUAUAUGAAUGUUUCGAUGAAAUGAAAGCGUUACGAAGAUUGAUAUCAUAUUAUAUCAUAUUUAUUUUGCAUCAUGAGACAGCUGAGAUAAAAGUUCAUAGAGUUAUUUGUAAAUAGAGAAUUGAUACGCACUUCGGCCGUUUUUAUCAAUCAAAACGAAUUUAUAAAAUGUAGCGAUGGUUGUUCUUUAUUCCUUAAGCGAAUAAGAUGGUCGAUCACGUUAGGCUGUUUGUAAAAUGCAUAUUUGAAGGAUGAUGAGAAAUAAUUUUGCGCAAACGUGCGGGAAACUGCUUACGUUUGUAUCCUAUAAAAUGUCGUCCUGAGCAUACUAGUCACGCAUCGAGCCGACGUACUGUAUCCCGCAUUGUUUACAUGAUUUAUACAAGAGAAAAAAUCAAGAUAGAUGAUACAAUUAUCACAAUACUAAGCAAUAACGCUUGAGUAAACGGUAGUAAUGUUGAUUAGAAAGAUGUACUAGGAAAAAAAAGAUUACAGAUUUUAAACGUUUUCGAACGCAAGAACGGCUGUAAUCUUUGUCGUUGCUUUGAUUUUUUUCGUUAACCAAUAUGUUAUUUGUUACAUGAAAAUAGAUUUACAUAUUAAUAUACAUUUUAAAUAACCCGUGUAAUAUCACACAUGACGAUACACUACGGCCGAAUAUUUCAAUCGUUCGAAAACAGCGCACGCAAAAUGUCUUUUAAAACGUCUGAGUUGCACAAUAUCGACAUUAGCACAAUCUCGAGAUCGAAUAGAAAAUGGGAAUGGAGUUUGCGUAACGUUAGUUGAAACAAUAGACAGGCAAUAAAGCGCAAGAUUGUCUGAGUUCGAUACAAAUGCAUUCUCGUGCAAUCUUUGGGUUUUUUCCGUCUUUUUUCGUCUUCCCAUUGUUACUCCAACGAAAUUUUUUUCGCUAUUUAGAGACAGGAUAUAAUCCAAAAAUUGAAAUUUUACGAAGACGAAAUUUGGCUUCGUAAUGUCGAUCGAGAUUACAAUUAACGUAUUGAUAUAUUACGGACGACACACGCGUUGAUAGUAACAAAAGUUAAACGCUACAAUAUCACUUGUUAAUUUUUUAUUUGGUUAUAAUGAUUAAGAAAUUAAACGGCAGAAAAUAAAGUGCGUCUUACUCCUAAGAGAGUAACGUUUACUCUUUAUAUUAAUUAAAAAAAAGAAAGUAACAUGUUACUUCCAUACAGUUAUAUUGAAAGCUGACAAUGAUUCUUAAAUGGGACGACAAUCGAAGGUCCCGCGUCUGUUCGAGAACGACGUUUUAUCUCCGGCAAGGAGGACCGCGAUAUCGUGCUGUUCGAUUUACAGGCAAAAAUAAAUCAUCAGUGUGAUCAAUGUUACAUCUCCUUUCACUUCACAUUGAUAUACUUCGGAUUUACAACGAAAUACGUUAAUGUUUUUCAAGUUACCACAAAGAAUCGAGAAUAUAAAUUAGAAAAGUGAAGACGAAGGAAAACGCUUUUCCCAAACAAAGGGAAAAAAAAGAUGUAGGAUCAUCGAACAGACGAAAGAUAGUUGUUAGCACAAAUAGUUUCCUAUCAAUUUAUCAGUCGCGAUAUAGUAAUAGAUAUGUACAGAUGACGAGUGCCAGGCGAGAACAGAUAAUAAGAAUAAUCGAAACUACGUGCUCAUUAAUUGUUGUAAAUACUUUCAUAGUUCGACUUUAGCGAUUUAGAUGUACCUGUAGGUUUUUAAGCCAGUGACUGUAGGGUUAAGUUAUAUAUGUAAGUCUUUAUAUAGCGUACGAGAUAAGAUCUUAGUUCGAUAAGUUUAUAAGUUACAUAUACGAUCGGCUUACAUGUUAUUACAGGCUUGUUUCUCGUGGCGUGCUUUGGCCAUUCGUUAAAUACGGGAGGAGAAUAUGGAAAUGAGUUCCGAGAUUUAAAAAACAUGUCAAUAUUGAUGAAGAAAAAAAGAUUCCGACAAAGUACUCGGUGCCAAUUUUUCUCAUUGUAAUGCACCAUUUCGCAUGUAAUAUAUGCUACGCUAUUGUGCAACGUUGUUUCGCCCCUUUCCCCUUUUUUGCAGAAGAGAGACAAAUGUAACAUAAUGUACAUAGUUUUUAUCCAAAGUUGAUAAAAGCCACGCCACGAGAUCGACCCCGAAAUGUAAAAAAAGAUUAUACAUAUACAUAUUAUAUAUAUUAUAUAUAUAUAUAGAUAUAUAUUUCAUAUAAAUAUAUAUAUAUUUAUAUGAAAUAUAAAUUUUUACAUUGUUACUUAUAUACUGCUAAUAAAUCUUAAUUUUACAUUUAAGGCUUAUAUGGCUAAAAUACGGGUGGGGUUUUCUUUUGCUAAUUUUUAACUCUAAAAAAAUGUAUAAAAAAUAUUUCAUAUAAAGAUUAUAUACAUACACUAUAUUAGAUUGCAAGAGAUAAUUAUGUAUCGAUUUACGCGAAAUGUGAUGCGUUUUGAGGAGGGACUACUUAUAUUAAUAUUUUCUUCGGAUCAUCGAUUCGCUGAACCUUUCUUAUUUAGCCUUCUCAAGGUCUCUAUCUCGGAUUUAGAUCUGUCACUUUGAUUCUGUAUCUUUAUCUCAUCCUUUUUUUUUCUUUUUUCGCUUCUUUCAACAAUCUGACUAAACUCGCUCAUAUCGCUCUAAUGAGAUGAUCAUUAGGAUUCCUUUUCAGAUAAUACACGACAUACAGAUAUAAUUAUAUUUAUAACGUUACCAUUUUGUAAUAGUGCCAUUUUUAUAUACUUUGAUACGUAGCUCUCGCGUUUCUUAAUUAGUAAACACGUUGGUGAAAAAGAAGGAAAACAAAUUAGCGCGUCGACUUGGAAGAGGCAGAAUUUGUUAGUGAGAUCCCUCCUUAAACGAGCACAGGAAUGUAUGAUUUUACUUGAGAGGCAUCCUCGGCGGUGAAGAAAGACGAGCGCAAAAUUCAUUAUUCAUCACAGACGAAUCCGCGCGUUUUUUGCCCUCGGACAUCGAUCAGUCGUCAAUCGCGAUCCGAUCUCAAAGAAAUAACGACGUUAAUUAUGAUACGCGAUGUUGUCUAUAUACGAAUACGUUAAUACGUCCUAGUAAUCAUAUUCGUAAUACUUCGUUAAUUCGUCCUAGUAAUCAUAUAUUACUUGUCACUUUAUCUCGUAGUCUUUCGUUACGACUUAUAGAUACGACGAAAUCAGCUCGUACCGUUCGCUUCAUCAACUUUCCCCCUAUCUUACGCGUUUAGUCAGUCGAGUCCCCACAAUUAAUGUCGAGAUCGCGUUUGUGCGAAAUUGUUCUUAAAAUAAAAAAGUCUAGUCGCUUUAAUCGAUCGCUGGCGGAGCCCCUCCCGGUAUCUCUCUCGUGUCAUCGCCUAUCGAUUUGAGUACUUUCGGAGAUUUCGUUCGGAAUCUAACUUCGCAGAAUAUGUCGUACGGAUGAAUCCUAUCACCGACCUGCGAUACAAGAUACCGGGCAGAGAAAACUUUCUUCCGGGCCGCAUUUCCGUUCGCGUACAAUAGUGCCUUCGAGAAGAACUUAAACUUGAACUUCCGGACUGUUAAUAAUAAAAAAAAAGUCGCAUUACUCAUGCAUUUCCAGACGAUGCACAAUAAAAGGGAAGAAACCGGAGUAGAAAGAAAGAAACACGAAUAAAAUAGCGCCGCGAAUUUAAGUAGGAAUAACGUUUAGAGGAUCGCUAGGGAGAGAACUCUUGUAGCAAGCCGGUCGGGAUGCGAAGGCGGGGAGACCGACGAUAAGCUAAGGAUAAACUACCAAGUCCAAGCCUUUCGUUGAAGAUAUAACCACAUAUUUUUUCAAAUUCCGAGAAAAAGAAAACUAGGAGCCGCCUGGAUCGGCGGGAGCCUCGGGAGAUCCUCGGAGUCGAGGAUGGGAGACACCGGAGCCCCGACGUACCACCAGUCCACGUGGCUUCGCAGAACGUGCUAAGCGCAUCGCGCGUCGAUUGUAAAUAAAUAAAAAAAACAACAAAAAAGAUACAUAUAUAUAUAUAGAUAUAUAGAUAUACACCUACGCUUAUACACACAAAGAGUAAACUGCAAAAACGAAAGCCGGCUUAGGGACUCUGGGGAGAGAAAGAGAGAGAGAGAUUGAUAAUAUUCGUAAUCGGUGCGCGAGGGUCUCGAAAGGGGCCACGGGGAUGAGUGAUAAUGUGCUGCGUAUAAUGCGCGUGUAGGAUGGCUUUUGCGAAUGCGGGCGCGUAGUUGUAACGUUUGUGAAUACAUAAAAUAAAACGACCAAAAAACCGAA
rnacentral:misc_RNA from 1 species